rnacentral:rRNA from 1 species
CCUACGGGGGGCAGCAGUGGGGAAUAUUGGUCAAUGGGCGCAAGCCUGACCCAGCAACGCCGCGUGAAGGAAGACGGCUCUCGGGUUGUAAACUUCUUUUUACAGGGAAGAGUAGAAGACGGUACCUGUCGAAUAAGCCACGGCUAACUACGUGCCAGCAGCCGCGGUAAUACGUAGGUGGCAAGCGUUGUCCGGAUUUACUGGGUGUAAAGGGCGUGUAGCCGGGUUGACAAGUCAGAUGUGAAAUCCUGCGGCUUAACCGCAGAACUGCAUUUGAUACUGUUGAUCUUGAGUACAGGAGAGGCAGACGGAAUGCGUGGUGUAGCGGUGAAAUGCGUAGAUAUUAGGAGGAACACCGAUGGCGAAGGCAGUCUGCUAGACAGCAACUGACGGUGAGGCGCGAAAGCGUGGGGAGCAAACAGGAUUAGAUACCCUUGUAGUC